rnacentral:rRNA from 1 species
ACCUGGAGGAAAAGACAUCAACCGAGACUCCGUUAGUAGUGGCGAGCGAAAGCGGACCAGGCCAGUGGCCUGCUGCAAGGAACCGGAACGGUCUGGAAAGGCCGGCCAGAGCGGGUGAUAGCCCCGUACGGGUAGUUAUUGCGGCGGGUCCUUGAGUAGGGCGGGACACGUGAAAUCCUGUCUGAACAUGGGGGGACCACCCUCCAAGCCUAAGUACUCCUUGGUGACCGAUAGGGAACGAGUACCGUGAGGGAAAGGUGAAAAGCACCCCGAUGAGGGGAGUGAAAUAGAACCUGAAACCGAAUGCCUACAAACAGUGGGAGCCCGCGAGGGUGACCGCGUACCUUUUGUAUAAUGGGUCAGCGAGUUGGUCUUACGAGCGAGCUUAAGCCGUUAGGUGUAGGCGCAGCGAAAGCGAGUCUGAAUAGGGCGCUUUAGUUCGUAGGAUCAGACCCGAAACCGAGUGAUCUAGCCAUGGGCAGGUUGAAGGUGGGGUAACACCCACUGGAGGACCGAACUCACGCCUGUUGAAAAAGUCGGAGAUGACCUGUGGUUAGGGGUGAAAGGCCAAUCAAACUCGGAGAUAGCUGGUUCUCCGCGAAAGCUAUUUAGGUAGCGCGUCGGGUAUUGCCCUCGGGGGUAGAGCACUGGAUGGGCUAGGGGGUCGCGAGACUUACCAAACCUAACCAAACUCCGAAUACCGAGGAGCAGAGCCCGGCAGACAGGCGGCGGGUGCUAAGGUCCGUCGCCAAGAGGGAAAGAGCCCAGACCGCCAGCUAAGGUCCCUAAAUCAUGGCUAAGUGGGAAAGGAUGUGAGAAGGCCAAGACAACCAGGAAGUUGGCUUAGAAGCAGCCAUCUUUUAAAGAAAGCGUAAUAGCUCACUGGUCUAGACAAGCCGUCUCGCGCCGAAAAUGUAACGGGGCUCAAGCCAUGUACCGAAGCUGCGGGCUUGCGAAAGCAAGCGGUAGCGGAGCGUUCCGUAGGCCUGCGAAGGGAUAUCCGUGAGGGGUCCUGGAGGUAUCGGAAGUGCGAAUGCUGACAUGAGUAGCGACAAACAGAGUGAGAAACUCUGUCGCCGAAAGUCCAAGGGUUCCUGCGCAAGGUUAAUCCGCGCAGGGUGAGCCGGCCCCUAAGGCGAGGCCGAAAGGCGUAGCCGAUGGGAAUGGGGUUAAUAUUCCCCAGCCAGCGAUGGGUGACGGAUGACGGAAGCUGUACGGGCUUAACGGAUUGCCUGUGCGGCCUGGUCGUUCCAGGAAAGAACCCUCGCAUGUGACCGUACCCGAAACCGACACAGGUGGACUGGUAGAGUAUACCAAGGCGCUUGAGAGAACUAUGCUGAAGGAACUCGGCAAUUUACCUCCGUAACUUCGGAAUAAGGAGGACCUCUGCUUGCGCAAGCAGGCAGGGGUGGCACAGACCAGGGGGUGGCAACUGUUUAGCAAAAACACAGGGCUCUGCGAAAUCGCAAGAUGACGUAUAGGGUCUGACGCCUGCCCGGUGCCGGAAGGUUAAGAGGAGAGGUGCAAGCCUUGAAUCGAAGCCCCGGUAAACGGCGGCCGUAACUAUAACGGUCCUAAGGUAGCGAAAUUCCUUGUCGGGUAAGUUCCGACCUGCACGAAUGGCGUAACGACUUCCCCGCUGUCUCCAGCACAGGCUCAGCGAAAUUGAAUUCCCCGUGAAGAUGCGGGGUACCCGCGGUUAGACGGAAAGACCCCGUGCACCUUUACUACAGCUUUGCAGUGGCAUUAGGACUAAUAUGUGUAGGAUAGGCGGGAGGCGAUGAAACCUGGGCGCCAGUUCAGGUGGAGCCAGCCUUGAAAUACCGCCCUUAUGGGUUCUGAUGUCUAACCGCGCUCCUGAAACGGGAGCCGGGACCCUGCAUGGCGGGUAGUUUGACUGGGGCGGUCGCCUCCCAAAGAGUAACGGAGGCGCGCGAUGGUGAGCUCAGGCUGGUCGGAAAUCAGCCCUUGAGUGCAAUGGCAUAAGCUCGCCUGACUGCGAGGCCGACGGGCCGAGCAGAGACGAAAGUCGGUCAUAGUGAUCCGGUGGUCCCGCGUGGAAGGGCCAUCGCUCAACGGAUAAAAGGUACGCCGGGGAUAACAGGCUGAUGACCCCCAAGAGUCCAUAUCGACGGGGUCGUUUGGCACCUCGAUGUCGGCUCAUCGCAUCCUGGGGCUGGAGCAGGUCCCAAGGGUAUGGCUGUUCGCCAUUUAAAGCGGUACGUGAGCUGGGUUUAGAACGUCGUGAGACAGUUCGGUCCCUAUCUGCCGUGGGUGUUCGAGACUUGCGAGGCUCUGUCCCUAGUACGAGAGGACCGGGAUGGACGUACCUCUGGUGUACCGGUUGUCGCGCCAGCGGCAGCGCCGGGUAGCUAUGUACGGACGGGAUAACCGCUGAAAGCAUCUAAGCGGGAAACCCCCCUCCAAACGAGGUCUCGCCUAAGAGCCGUGAUAGACCAUCACGUCGAUAGGCCGGGAGUGGAAGCGCGGUAACGCGUGCAGCUAACCGGUACUAAUCGCUCGAUUGGCUUGCCU